UACGGGGGGGGCAAGCGUUGUUCGGAAUUACUGGGCGUAAAGGGCUCGUAGGCGGCCAACUAAGUCAGACGUGAAAUCCCUCGGCUUAACCGGGGAACGGCCUCUGAUACUGGCUGGCUGGAGUUCGGGAGAGGGAUGCUGAAUUCCAGGUGUAGCGGUGAAAUGCGUAGAUAUCUGGAGGAACACCGGUGGCGAAGGCGGCAUCCUGGACCGACACUGACGCUGAGGAGCGAAAGCCAGGGGAGCAAACAGG
rnacentral:rRNA from 1 species